CCAAUACUGGCAUCCAUCGACUAGAAAAACAACACUAGCUGCCCAGAAGAAGAGGAGUUUGCAAGAUCCCAUUCACCAUGGCACGCCCAAGGAACAACACACAUAUUUUGUUCUUGGUUGUAGCUCUUCUGGUCAUGUCUACCGCCUUCCUGGCCUGUAAUGCAGACAGUAAGAACAUACAUUUCUCCUGUACAAUUUUCUUUUUGAAACAAGGCAAAUACUUUGCUUAUUAUAUUGAUAUAGUAGGAGCAAAGGACAACCCGGCCGAAGCCAAAAACAAAAAAAGAAAAAGAAUAUAUGCUUCCAUCAUCUUCUUCUUUAUAGAUCUGUUCUUUCUUUCCCUUGGUACAAAACUGACUGUUCAUCUCUGUUCGUGCCGCCGUGCAGUCGACCCACCUACUGCAAUCCCGAUCCCACUCCAAGGUGCUGCUGCAUCUAUUAAGCGCAGGAAAUAACAAUGCCACUGUAGUGGCAGAUGAUGGAUGACAAAGCUAGCAAACUCAUUUUUAUGUGUCUAUCUCGUCUCAUGUAAAAAUCGGAACAGAUCAUGGUCCAGUCCUGUCCGUGAAUAAAGAUUAGAAAAGUUUCUUAAAUAGCCGUGUUUGCAGCAUUAAUAAGUCAACAUCUGGUAAACACAAGGGGACGAAAUGUUUUGACUAAAGACGCGAAAUUUACUCUUCGGAAGCGCUAGCGAUCAGACUACUGAUAGCUGGCUUCCCACAGACUAGUGCUGCAUUGUCGGAUUGAAAUUGCCUGGAAUGUCUGAUUGGAGAUGUGGGCCUAGGUAUUUUGCAUGUGGUGUUUCCGUCAAUAACUCCCAGAAAAGCGUGUCAGUGCACUAACUGGUUUUUUAAUUUUUACUGCUUCCUCCGUGCUUCAAAAUCUGGACUAUGUGAAACCGGUGCAUGUGGCAAACUGGGUGCAUCUGAUACAUUCUAUUCGUCAGUUUUUUUAUAGGACGCACACCAUGUUCUAUUAACAGUGGAAGCAUA
rnacentral:lncRNA from 1 species